GAUAUACUCCCUCCAUUCCGAAUUACUUGUCGUAGAAAUGGAUGUAUCUAGAACUAAAAAAUGUCUAGAUACAUCCAUUUCUACGACAAGUAAUUCCGAAUGGAGGGAGUACAUU
rnacentral:pre_miRNA from 1 species